AUUGAACGCUGGCGGCAGGCCUAACACAUGCAAGUCGAACGAGUGGCGGACGGGUGAGUAAUGUCUGGGAAACUGCCUGAUGGAGGGGGAUCACUACUGGAAACGGUAGCUAAUACCGCAUACCAUCGGAUGUGCCCAGAUGGGUUUAGCUAGUAGGUUGGGUAACGGCUCACCUAGGGGACGAUCCCUAGCUGGUCUGAGAGGAAGACCAGCCAAACGGGAAUGGAGACACGGGCCAGACUCCUACGGGAGGCAGCAGUGGGGAAUAUGGCACAAUGGGCGCAAGCCUGAUGCAGCCAUGCCGCGUGUAUGAAGAAGGCCUUCGGGUUGUAAAGUACUUUCAGCGGGGAGGCGUUACCCGCAGAAGAAGCACCGGCUAACUCCGUGCCAGCAGCCGCGGUAAUAC
rnacentral:rRNA from 1 species